AGAGCAGAGGUCGUCAAGCCAGCGCGGGCGAACACGGCCCUGCGCAAAGAGAGAAAUCUGCUGGUUGAGGCUGCCGAAGUGGGCAAGGCUGUCGGCCACACAAUUGAAGUCGCGAGAAACGUGUUCCCAGGAGAAGUCAGGCCAUAGACUUGGAAGACUCGGAAGAGCAAGGGUUGACAUUGUAUUCUUUUUUCCAUCAAUGUAUUAUUAUUAAAAAAAGUUGCAAGUAAUACUUAGCUUCGAGAAAUUGCUAGCCAAACAAGAAGAAAAAAAAAAUUGCCAUGGUUGUGGAUGCAUUUGGAGGAAAGCUUGUGGAGAGGUUGAUCAACCUCGCCGAAGAGAAGGCCAUCCUAGUUCUCGGAGUGAAGACCGAGCUCCACAAGCUCCGGCGAAGGAUGGAGAAGAUUACCCGUGUUCUCAAGGAUGCAGAGAGGAGGAGAAUCCAAGACCCUGCCAUCAAUGCUUGGGUCACUGAGCUCAAGCAUUUCAUGUAUGAUGCUGAUGAUCUGAUUGAUCUUUGCUUGAUUCAAGGUAGUAAGCUCUUGGCAGAUCAACCAAGCAAGUCCUAUGAUCUCAAUUUUCAGUUCAAAUUUCCAUUUUUUCCUUGUUGUCAUAGUGUGCCACUUCGAUAUGAGAUUGCUAGCAGAGUUAAGAGACUGACUGGUAGGUUAGAGGAGAUUUCAAAGGAUAAGGAGUCAUUCAAUCUUGUUGAAUAUAAAUUGAAUACUUUGGAUGUUGUUAGUGAGGUUGGUUCUCAACAUAGUUCUGAUUCAUUGCCUGAACCUGACGUUGUUGGAUGGGGGAUUAGAGAUGCAACUAGGAAACUUGUUGAGCUCUUGGUUGGUGAGGGUGAGCAAAAAUGCCGGCUUUUUGCGAUUGUCGGCAUGGGAGGAAUAGGAAAGACUACGCUUGCGCAGAUUGUGUAUGACAAUUACAGCAUACAGGAUAGUUUUGUUCUUCGGUCUUGGGUUUCCGUUUCAAAACAUUGUUCUUCAGAGGUUGAACUGCUGAAAGUGAUCAUAAGAAACAUUGGAGGUAGUUAUGGGGAUGUAACAACAACCGGGGAGCUUAAACUAAUUCUUAGAAGUGAGCUUGUUGGGAAGAGCUUUUUUCUUGUGUUGGAUGAUGUAUGGCAGGCAAAUGUAUGGGUUGAUUUGCUCAAAAAUACGAUACAGAGCGCAGCUGCUAAAGUUGGGAUUUUGGUUACCACUAGAGAUGAAAAUAUUGCUAAGAAAAUGGGUGUAGUGCACAUGCAUAAUGUUAGCAAAUUGCCUGUUGAUUCUGGUUGGGAGUUGCUUUGCAAGAAAGUUUUUGUCAAUAGAGAUGGAGCAGAAAUGCAUAAAUUGAGGGAUAUAGGUAUCCAAAUCGUUACGAAAUGUGAUGGUCUUCCCCUCGCAAUCAAGACCAUUGCUGGUGUUCUAAUCAUGAAAAAUCCAACUACUAGAGAAUGGGAAAAGGUUCUUAAUAGUGAUGCUUGGACUGUUGGUGGGCUUCCGGAAGAACUUCAAGGAGCGUUAUACUUGAGCUAUGAGGACUUACCUUCUGCUCUGAAGCAUUGUUUCCUCCACUGUUCUCUGAUUCCUCCAGACCGUGCUCUCCGUCGGAUUGACCUUGCUUAUGAAUGGAUUGCUGAAGGUUACGUGCAAGCAAAAGGAAAUGUAUCUUUGGAGGAGGUCGCCGAUGAGUAUUACAUGGAAUUGAUAAGGAGGAGUUUCUUGCAACCUGAUCUUAAUGAUGAUUAUCUGAGUGAAUGCACAAUGCAUGAAUUGUUGCGAACUCUUGCUCAGUUUCUAGCAUGUGAUGAAAGCUUUUCAGGAGAUCCACAAGAAGCAAAUAUCAACAGCUCAAUGACAAAACUGCGCCGCCUUUCAAUAUCAAGUAGCAGAGAGAUUGUGGGUCUUCCACCAGUGAUUGUAAAACAGAAUUGCCUUAGAACUCUGAUGCUAUUCAGUACCCCACCAAGUUUGGAUAUGCAUAUUCUUGGAAGACUCUCAUAUGUGCGGGUAUUGAUACUUAAUGGAAAAAAGAUUGAUCGAGUCCCUGAUAAUAUUGGAGAAUUCAUACACUUAAGGCUUCUGGAUCUCAAAUUCACAGGCAUACAUGAGUUGCCGGACUCUAUAGGAAGCCUCACAAGCUUGGAGUUCUUGAAUCUUGAAGAUUGUGAAUCUUUGCACACCAUUCCUGAGAGCAUCGCUAAAUUAUGCAACCUAAGGUGUCUUCGUCUUAAAGGUACUCCUCUGAGCCAUGUGCCAAAUGGAAUAGGCAAGCUUGAACAUCUCAGUUAUUUAAACGGAUUUGUCAUUGGAUCUGGUGGUGAUGGAGAAAGGCCACAAGAGGGACACAACUUAGAAGAGCUGCAGUCACUCAAGAACCUCAGAAUCCUUCAUAUAAGCAGUUUAGAGAUGGCGUUGAGUGGGGCUUCUGUGCUUUCGAACAAACCUCACCUAAGACAAUUAAUGCUGCAUUGCACGGUCAGAAAUACUAUACAGUUACACACUGUGCAGGAGACUAAUAGAAUUGAGCAAGUGUUUGAUAAGUUAUCUCCUCCAUCAUCCUUAGAGAAACUAGUCAUUGAUGGCUUCUUUGGUUCUAGGUAUCCAAAGUGGAUGUCCUCUACAAUGAUUAGUACUUCUCUCAUCGAUUUGACAAUUUUGCACCUUAUGAACUGUAUCUCAUGCCCCCAGCUUCCCCCGCUUGGCCAGCUGCCUGAAUUGAAUUAUCUAAAAGUUGGCAAUGCUUCUGCCAUAGUAUCUAUUGGCAGUGAAUUUUUUGGCAGUGGUGUGAAAGAUGGAAAUGGAAAACCUCAAACUGCAUUUCCUAGCCUUGAGUACCUUAUCUUUGAUGAUAUGCCUAACUUGGAGGAAUGGUCAUUUAGUGGACAAAAUAGUGAGGAAUCAAGCAAGAUGGUUACCUUUGGUCAUCUCAGACAAGUCAGCCUUCACAUUUGCCCAAAACUAAAAGCUCUGCCAAGAGGCUUAAAUCAGGUGAACAUGCAUAGGUUGUACAUUGAAGGUGCCCACAGCCUGACGACAGUGGAGAACUUUCCAAAUCUAACUGAAUGGCUGCAAGUCAUUAACAAUCAUCGGCUUGCACAGGUUUCCAAUCUUCCUGCUUUGAGAGCUCUGAUUGUGCGUGAUUGCCCCAUGCUUCAGUGUGUGGAGAAGCUUGACUCUCUAUUACGGCUACAGCUGAUUGAUACAAUGAGCAGCAGUCUCCCAGAGUGGCUAAUCACUUUUCUCCGAGAGCGACAGCAGGCUCAUGAUGAUUGGUUCCAACUAGAUUUGGAUUGCACUGUCCAAGCAUUAAAGGGAUUUAUUAAAGGUUGUCCAGGAUGGUCUAUCCUUGAGCAAGUGCCUCAGGUGGUGGCCUAUGCAGAAAAUAAAAGCAAGUAUUUGUUAUACACAAAGGAGCCAUUUUCCUACAAAACGAACCUUGAAGAUUGAUGAAUGCAGUUGUUGAUUAUGGAGGUGAUGAAGAAGCCAUCAGUGAGAAACGAAGUUCAAGAAAAUGCUGUAGAUGAUAGUAACACGUGAUUCCAUCUCAUGACAAGCAUAUUUCCAAGGCAAGGUUCUCCCUGCUAGACUAUGGAUUGUUGAAGAUUACAAUAAAGCAAUGGAAACAAACUGAUUGAGUGGUGCAAUGCUAGAUUUGUUGUGAAGCCUUGCUCAGUUUAUAGUAUGUGACCACAGUUCCUAGUUCCCCGUUCGAUGUCAAGCAGUAAAAAGGUUUUCCCCCUAAUAUGACUUUAGAGCAGAAUUGCUUAAAAAUUAAGGUAUUUUUAACUUCCCUCCAAGUUUGGUUACAUGUUUUCUUGGAAAACUUUCAGACUGCAGCUGUUGAUCCUUUUUUCUUUUGGGUCAAGGGAGAGGUGUGCGUUAGCUGAUCAACAAAAACAGUAAGAGGAUGAAACAGAGCUUAGAAACUAAACCCAUUUCUUGUGUAUCCUCCUGCAGCUAUUGUG